GCAGUUGUGGCCGAGUGGUUAAGGCGACUGACUCGAAAUCAGUUUCCAUCUUGGAGCGUAGGUUCGCAUACUACCAUCUGCG
rnacentral:tRNA from 1 species